rnacentral:rRNA from 1 species
GCGUAAAGCGCGCGCAGGCGGAUCAGCAAGUCAGAUGUGAAAUCUCGGAGCUCAACUCCGAAACUGCGUCUGAAACUGCUAGUCUAGAAUGUCGGAGGGGGCAGGGGAAUUCACGUGUAGGGGUAAAAUCCGUAGAGAUGUGAAGGAACACCGGGGGCGAAGGCGCCUGCCUGGACGACUAUUGACGCUGAGGCGCGAAAGCGUGGGGAGCAAACAGGAUUAGAUACCCUGGAUAAUCCACGCCGUAAACGAUGAGAACUAGUUAUUGGGGGUAUUGACUCCCUCAGUGACGCAGCUAACGCAUUAAGUUCUCCGCCUGGGGAGUACGGUCGCAAGACUAAAACUCAAACAAAUUGACGGGGGCCCGCACAAGCGGUGGAUUAUGUGGUUUAAUUCGAAGCAACGCGCAGAACCUUACCUAGGCUUGAACUCCUACGAAUCCGUUUUAAUCGACGGAGUGUCCGCAAGGAAAUGUAGAGAGAGGUGCUGCAUGGCUGUCGUCAGCUCGUGUUGUGAAAUGUUGGGUUAAGUCUCGCAACGAGCGCAACCCCUAUCGUCUGUUGCCAGCAUUAAGUUGGGCACUCUGACGAGACUGCCUGGGUUAACCAGGAGGAAGGUGGGGAUGACGUCAAGUCCUCAUGGCCCUUAUGUCUAGGGCUACACACGUAAUACAAUGGCGCGUACAGAGGGAAGCGAACUCGCAAGGGGGAGCAAAUCUCAAAAAGCGCGCCUCAGUUCGGAUUGGAGUCUGCAACUCGACUCCAUGAAGUUGGAAUCGCU